GUGAAUCAUCAAAUUUUUGAACGCAAAUUGCGCCUUUUUCGGUAGGCAUGUCUGUGUGAGGGCGACAUUUAACAAAUAAUGUGCAGUGUUUUUUGUUGUACACGUUGAUGAGCUUUCCAAGAAUUUUAAACUUUUGGUGGCGCAUAAUGAACAGCGUGAAAGUUUUUUUCAGUUCGAGUGUAGUAAAACCUUUGCUUGGGUUGUGAAAAAAUAUAAUAGCGCAAUGGGUGUGGUAAUUUCUUUUUAUCCCUGCCCGAAUGCGACUCUUUCUAACGUAAGAA
rnacentral:misc_RNA from 1 species